GCGGUGUCAACUUGGGGCGGUGUCUCCAGAGUCUCCAAGGCCUCGUCUGGAGGCGUGUGUAAGACUCCGGAGCUGGCCGGACGCUGGUCCGCGUCGCACCCCUUUGGGUUCGAAACCCAGUUGCACCACAGUCUUCGCAACUUCGGAGUAGUGGUCUGGGAGCGUCGGUUUCCCCGCUAGGGCGAGGCACCCGGCAGGUGCAGGGUAAGGAGGCCUGAGAGGCCACAGAUCUUGGACACCAGGAUGGAGGAUCUGCUUGUCCUGGCUCCAUGUCUUGGAGUGAUGCCUGCACCAGGCGCAACCACUGGCACCAGGGCCUGAGACCAUGGACGCCUCACUGUCACCUUGUUCCCUGCAUACCACCUCCACAUGCUGUAAAUGUGGAUUAUUAACUGUCUUGCACCCACCAGUGUAAGAGAGGUAUGUGUUCUGUGAUUUCUCCCGCCUCCUUCACCUGCCAACA